AUCACAUUCCUGAGGAUGAACACCUUGGAUCAUCCCGAAGUUUAUCACUGUGGGUCUUCUUACACUUUCUCAGUGGUUGUACCAUGUGGCUAAAGAAAUGCGCUAACACUACUCCCACCAGCUAUAGCGGCUUUACACUGAUACCAGAAGUUGGUUCUGCUGUGAUCAGAGGAGCAGUUAAAUGAUCAGGAAGUUAAAAUUGCUUUGAGAUGUCUUCAUCAUGGGAAU
rnacentral:lncRNA from 1 species